rnacentral:rRNA from 1 species
CAGCCGCCGCGGUAAUACAGAGGGUGCAAGCGUUAAUCGGAAUUACUGGGCGUAAAGCGCGCGUAGGUGGUUUGUUAAGUUGAAUGUGAAAUCCCCGGGCUCAACCUGGGAACUGCAUCCAAAACUGGCAAGCUAGAGUAGGGCAGAGGGUGGUGGAAUUUCCUGUGUAGCGGUGAAAUGCGUAGAUAUAGGAAGGAACACCAGUGGCGAAGGCGACCACCUGGGCUCAUACUGACACUGAGGUGCGAAAGCGUGGGGAGCAAACAGGAUUAGAUACCCCUGUAGUCCCUGUCUCUUAUAU